GGGUUCCCAAGGUUUUCCCGGCUUCCCCGGGGCGAGUGGAGAGAAGGGGGUUCGGGGUCUCUCUGGGAAAAUUGGCCCCCGAGGCGAACGAGGACCCUCCGGCCCCAGAGGACAGCGGGGGCCACGAGGAGCCACCGGGAAGCUGGGAGCAAAGGGCACCUCUGGUGGCGAAGGGCCGGCCGGGCCCCCAGGCGAACGGG